rnacentral:rRNA from 1 species
UACGUAGGGGGCAAGCGUUGUCCGGAUUUAUUGGGCGUAAAGAGCGUGUAGGCGGCUGGGUAGGUCCGUUGUGAAAACUCGAGGCUCAACCUCGAGACGCCGAUGGAAACCCUCCAGCUAGAGUCCGGAAGAGGAGAGUGGAAUUCCUGGUGUAGCGGUGAAAUGCGCAGAUAUCAGGAAGAACACCCGUGGCGAAGGCGGCUUUCUGGACCACUACUGACGCUGAGGAGCGAAAGCGUGGGGAGCGAACAGG